CACAUGCUUUAUUCUAUCCGGAUCUCAACUUAUUCUCCCAUGUCAAAUUGUUGCGUGCACCCAUUCCUCUCUUAUAGCUCAGCACGCAACAGUUAAGUGAAGAAUCAACGGCGGCGGCAACAACUGGAAUAUGGGCGCUUUUUACAAAUCUUGCGUUGAUGUCUGCCUUUCUUGGCUUCGCUAUUGCUCAGGCCAUUAAAUUCUUUACUGUCUGGUACAAGGAACACCGGUGGGAUCCGAAGCAACUUAUCGGAUCUGGUGGCAUGCCAUCAUCACAUUCAGCUACAGUAACUGUUCUUGCGGUUGGUGUUGGUCUACAACAGGGUUUUGGAGGACCGCAUUUUGCAACUGCGUUAGUCUUGGCAUCCGUGGUGAUGUACGAUGCAAUUGGUGUGAGAUUACAUGCUGGACGUCAAGCAGAGAUUUGUAGUUUCUGAUGCAGUUUGUUUUAUGCACAUCUAGGUUUUAAAUCAGAUCUUAUGUGAACUUCCAGCCGAGCACCCUCUUGCUGAGAGCAUACCGCUACGUAAACUUCUUGGCCACACGCCUACUCAGGUUGCUGCUGGUGCGAUUCUGGGAUCGGUUACAGCAAUGCUUAUAAGUUUAAUCUGACGCAAGCAGGAUAAGACUUUGUUUAGAGUUACUAAAGUGGUAUCUGUCUUUUAUUUCUAUUUUUAAGAGAAAGAGUAGCUCAAAGGUACGUAUCUGAUGAAAAGAUAAAUAUCAAAAUUUGUUGUGACCACAGGACAAUUCCUCCUCCUUCAUUGUUUUUGUAAACGUAAAAUUUGCCUCCAGUAUUUUGAGCAUUUUUCUAAAAUGGUGCAUCAUGAAUCUAGUCUUGGUAUAGCAGAGAAAAGUUUCUUGAGAUCCAAAACAGGAUUGUUCUAGAUCUCAGAAUUUGUGCGCCGACCGGCCUCAGUAUAAUAGGCCCUCAAUCUGUCACCUCUGGUAAACUAGGACAAGGUUUAGCAUCUAUGGCAACUAUGAAGUUUUUCCAAGGUGAAAGCGCCCUUACGUUGCUAUGUGUUGCCACAUUAUGCAUACUUUUAAGUGCAAGUUGAAAUUCCUGAGCCACCUUGAAUGCAGGCUGCGCUAGUUGAUAGGAUUGUUUGAUAUAACAAAGUACAGGUGCCCUGACAAAGUCAUAAGGCUGAUGAGUUUUUUAGAGAACGUGACAAUGUCAUAUGCGGCAUCGAGUAACAACACCAAUAUUGUAGUUGUAGUAUACAAAAACAGCAUGCCUGGCCUUUCAUUCAUCAAGAUCAGUAAAAUAUAUAGUGAUAAGUUUUUGCAAAUCAUGUUCCAGUUCAUAAAAAUUCCCGAUAACCAAUUCAUGGAACAACAAUUAAAGAGACACCUUGAUGUGAAUACGGAUCUUCGAGUUCGAGUGCAACACCAUAUCCGAUGACCAUGGUGGAGAUUUAAGCCCCCUUGGUGGGUUACAGUGUCCAUCUACUUUCUUCAUUUUGAACCCUUUUUCAUAUUGGAUUUCGAUAAUAUCCAUAUAUGUGAACUUAGUAUAUAAUUAAGACCUUAUUAUGUAUAUAUGUAUGGCGUGUUCACUUGCACGACAAUAUUCUUUUGAUAUCAUCAGAAAUUGAACUGGUUAGGUCAUACUAUGUAUCAAAUCGAACAAGGUGCAUUAUCAUGUCUAGGAAUGCGGACUGUAGAAGAAUCUGGGCACUGAUUACAACUGUAGAUAUAUCAUAGCUUGGGUGCAUUUUGGAGUUGAUUAGUAAUAGUAGGAAUGAACAGUCGUUUUCACAAGUACCACUCUUUUCUACUCCCUAAUGAUAGCAGCAUUCUCCGAGACUCGUGCCUUUUUUCCUCAACCGGCCAUUACUCUCAAUUUUUAAUUUUCAGAGAGAGGAAAACAGGAAGAAAGAAUAUUUGGUAACAAAAUGAGUUUGCACAGAGUAUUCAUAAAGAUGCAAUACAUUGAGUUUAUUAUGUAGAUGCACAAAGAGUAUUUGGUGACAAAAUGGUGAGUGAAGGGAAUAGCAAAGGAGGAAUAUAGCUUGAUUGUUGAAACUGAAUAGAUAGCCUUGUUUUAUCUCCUAUUCUAAUGGAUGCAGAUAUAAACACCGGACCACAAAGUCAGAUGGAAAUGCUGUUGGGAAUACCACGACCAGUAACGCCAGGAGGUGAAGUGGGUAGAAGCAAUUCAUAUGGAGGAACACCAGCACCAGUUCUGUUUGUACUCUUCAUCUGGAGAAUGUGUUGAUAGGCUGUCUUGGACAGCCAUAACCUUUGUUGCCUGGAGUUGCGUGGGCAAUGAAGUCAAGAAAGUGUACUCAGGGUUCUGAAGGAACUUUUCGUACUCAGAGUCACCCGGUUGAGGGAUUAGUUUCCUCAUGAGAGUUGGACGGUUAGGUACGUAUCCCCCAAACGGGUAUUGUCCGAAGUUGAUAGCUGCAUGCUGACCAGAAGCAGUCCAAAUCAUGGUUGCCUGAAGCUCCACAUCAGAUGAGAUGGAAUUUGGCUCAGAAUAAUAGUGCUCAACGUAGGAUUCUACCAAUUCCUGUAUGGCAGCCCAUAUGAGAAGCCCAUCUGCAGCGUAAGGAUAAUCUUCGAUCACAAGUUUGAUCC